CUUCCCCCCGCCCCUUACUAGCACGUUGAGACACACUGGGAGAGAUUCUGGGCAGGAUGAACGAAUCUUGCGAGAAGCGGGGCUGUGAGCAAGGAGGAGGUGGAGACAGGAUGAAAUAGUCUAAACACGGACGUCGGUCUGUGUCUCUCAGUUUGGUAAGGUGAUCACAACCCUCAGCAUGGUGUGGGCCGCACCACGCUCAGCCAGUGAGCGCACCGGCCAUCCCUAUAUAGGAUCCGAACCCGCGGCCUCAGCUCUACCAGCGCCGCACUCUCCUGAGUGAGCCACGAGGCCGGCCCUAAACAUACUUUUUAAACAAAACCUGAAACAUUUACUUUUUCUCUUUAUCUGAUCCCUCCAGAAUCCAGAAACUAGUCAUAACUACUCUUACUUUUAUGGCAAUGUGGUUAUUUACAUAACUUUAAUUAAGAAUCUGUUCUCCUUAAUAUGAUACAAUUGAAAACAGUAGUUAUAUUACCAAGGCUUUUACUGGAAUACCAUACUUGAAAAUCUUCAUACAAUGCUUUGAGGUUGUCAAAUCUUACAGUGAGUGAGUAAAGCUGUCACUUCCUGGCAGGCUGUGGAACCUCAAGAAACCUGAGAUAGCAUGCAAAGCCUAAUGUCUGCCUUGAUUUAACUUCCUAGCAUCAAGAUUUUAAAAAGUCAAAUGUGAUAUUUAUUCCUUGUCAAAAUUUCCUUCCUUAAAAGGAGGCUAUGUGGUUAUUCCUGCUGCAUUUAUUUGAAUAACCAGGCAAAUUGGUCUUACCAUGAUUAUCUUUGGUAGAAGCAUAGGUAACUGUUAAGAGAAAAUUUUGUUUCAAAAGAAAACUGUACACUUGUUAUUAAUUGUAGCCCUAUUUACUUUUUUUGAGUUUUAUUACCUACCUGUAGAAUGGGACUGGAUUCUGUAUUGUUCUAGUUUUCCCUGAUGUCUAAGAACAGGAACUGCUCUCUCCUGAAGAACUAUAAGCUGAAGCUGGACAGCUUGAUAUAAAUUUCAAGGGCUAAUUUUCCUUCCUAAUAUGUGGGCCAUGCCAAGAGUCCACCAAAAAUGCUUGAUGCCAUAACCAGAGACAUCCAAACUGCAAAUCAGAUGAAAAGUUACCAACUCCAUACUGUAACCAGCUCUUCUCCCAAGAUUUUUGGAUCAAGACUUCCUAUUUAUAAGACUCUUACCCCUCUUAAUUUUUCCUUAUUCAUGUCUUCCCCUUUCACUUGAUGUUGUUAUGUUAUAGUCAAAAUUUCAAUAAGGGCUGGCCAGUUAGCUCAGUUGGUUAGACCAUGAUGUUGACAAAACCAAGGUCAAGGGUUUGGAUACCAGUAUUGGCCAGCUGCCAAAAAGGAGGAAGAAGAAGUAAUACCAAACUCUUGUUGUUAUCUUCCUGAUAGUCAAAGUAGUCUCCCUGGCUCACUGUAUUCUCACAAAAGUUUUUAAUGUUUUUGUGCAUCCACCCAUUAAAUGUCAAGCCAUCUCCUACCAAAUAGGCAAAUGGGCUGGAACAACUAUAGUGCAUGAUGGUAGGCCCCUCCUACUCCCGUGGAUCACAGCAACUGAAGGACCCAUACCACCCACCAUGGCCUUACCCUUGCUCUCCCACCUUCGCACCGAAUUAUGGAAGUACCAGGACUGGCUACUUCCAGAUCCAUCACUUUCCAAAAAUAACCUUUCACCCCGCCCAGGCCAAUUAGUAUUCUACACUUCCCUGGAACCCAAAACUCCCCUAACCCCUAAGUGGGAAGGCCCAUGUCCUGUCAUCCUUUGCACUCCAACUGGUGCUAAACUUGCCCUGCCAGGUAAUCAUGUUACUCCAUGGAUUCUCCUGUUCUUUUCAUUUCACCCAGGGAACUUUCAGGCCCCUCUGCUAGCUCCCCAGGUUCACCCAUUUACACCUGGCAACAGAUCAUUUCCGAAACACUCAUCUUUCUCUCUCUAUCCCAGAAAUUGUUUUCUCUCAUGCGACCGCUCCUGCCAGCCAUCCCCUUAAACGCUUCCCUUCCUCAACCAUUUAUAACUACACCGUCGCCCCACCAGGCUCUUUCUUCUGGUGCAAUGGAACCCUCUCUACCUCCAUCCUGCCUAAUCUUACUGCUCCAUGCCUUCUUGUCACCAUCGUCCCUCAACUCACUCUCUACACCAGUUCAGAACUGUUCCAUCUUCCUCAUCCCCCCUCAAGGCAAAAAAGGGCCACCUUCCUCCCAAUCAUGGUUGGUAUUUCCCUAACAACAUCAACAGUCGGAGCCAGCCUGUUGGGAGAAGCCUUAGGACACAGUUUAUGGGCGGUCGAAGACCUAAAUGCUAAACUUGAAGGAGCUCUGACCUCCACUGCCGAAUCUCUUUCCUCUCUACAGAGACAAAUUACCUCUUUAGCUCAGGUCACCCUCCAAAACCGUAGAGCACUAGACCUCCUCACUGCAGAAAAAGGAGGUACUUGCAUCUUCCUUGGGGAAGAAUGCUGUUAUUAUAUCAAUGAAUCGGUCUAGUAGAAAAAACAUCAUCAAACUCACCAACUUAGCUUCCUGCCUACGAACCACAUCCAGUUCUAACCCCUUUUCUUCUUUUAUCUUAAACCCUAUUCUAACUUGGAUUUGGCCCAUUUUGGGACCUCUAAUCAUUAUCCUCAUAACCUGCCUUUUCUUGCCCUGCAUCAUUAGGUUUCUUCAAACCCAAGUGGGAAAAAUCUCUAAUCAGACCUUUAACCAGCUUUUGCUUAGAAACUACCAGGUUCUAGGUACCGAUGAACCCCCCGCCUCAUCUCGUGAGCGCCUCAGCCGAUGCUGAAGAGACACCACCUUACAGAGGAAACGCAUCCUACAUGCCCUCGCCACUGACGCCUGGCUGCCCCCUCCAGUCUCCAACUACGAAUAAUGGAACCGGUGCAUAUUCGACUUGUGGCUUUAAGGAACGUUUAUGGACUUUUCCCCUUUUGGAAUUACUUGUUUCUCCACCCUCCUUUGGGGUUUCAUAAUGGGUAUUUAUGUACCUUCCUCCCUUUGCCCCCCCCACAAUGCCCCAGUUCAGCAGGAAGUAGCUCGAUGACUUCAACGUCCCCUUUCCUAAAACAAGAAAAAGGGAGGAAUGUAAGAACCCAAAUGCCCCAAGGGAUCACACCCCGAUCAUAUAAGUCCUUCUCAGCCACACCCCAUCGUGGCGCUGGUUGCCCUCUAAGUAGGGAUUGUGUUUUAAGCCAAUCAGCCUUCCCUAGAAGCCCUAUAUAUAUGUGUGUGUGCCACCUAAUAAACGAGCUCUCUCUGGUGGAUCGUCAA